rnacentral:lncRNA from 1 species
GGACUUGAUCAAGCAACAUGUUCGCUGAGUUUUUCUGACGCUAUGCUGCAUUAGCGGUGGCGUCUACUCAUAGACUUCAUUGAGCACAUUAGGUUUCGAAUGUUUCCUCAGAACCGCUUGCGCCAGCUCAAGAGGCUUAUGCAGGAUAUGUCUGCGUGAAGUUGGCCUUGUUCUAAGGCCAGCAGGUAGUGUCAGAUUUACUUCAGAUUUCCUUUUUUGCCCUAGACGUGUACCAGAACUCAUGACUGAGGUCUGAUACGGGGGACAAGUUUCUAUGAUGAAACCGAAUGUGCUCUACGUUGUCACUGCUUUUUUCGCCGUUGCCUUGGGUCAAGCACUUCCAAAGUUCAGCGAACAGGACGUGUUACGAUGCUUCUUCUGCGGCAAAGCGACCAGUCAAUUAGUUUUGGAAGACACCUCGUUUUCUUUUAAACAUAUAUUUUGGAAAUACGAAUUUUUCCUCAAGGCCGGCUCCUUAUAUCUACCGGAUGGAGGGAAACUACAUGGGAGAUGCAAUACAUCGUUUGCACCAAAGCAAACAAACUACGCAUCUGUUUCCUGCACAUUUGACCUUUCCGGUAGCGUUGGCUACUACUACGUCACGAAGACUAACAGCUGGCGUUAUCAUAACAGUGACUUCCGUAUCAGUGCCACAGUCAAGACGGGCAGUUUUCAUAUAUCUGUGAAGUUCAACCGACCGGAGGAG